rnacentral:lncRNA from 1 species
UUGAACUGAAGGAUUAAGCUUGUUGGAGGAGAGAUCUUCAACCCUAGCUCACUUUCUAGCUUGAUUUGAAGCUUUGGAGAGGUUAAUACCUUAAAUCUAUUCUUUGAUCUAUGUUUUAGUAGAUUUUAUGAGAUGGAAACCUAGAAUGAGCAAACUUGGGUUUAUUUUGGAGAUUUUUUUAUUUGUAGCUCUUGGGCUUAAUUGAUAGAUAUAGAAUAUCUCGUUGGGGUAGAUUUG